rnacentral:lncRNA from 1 species
AUUCUGCUGCCUUGAAUUCCCACUCAUCAUUGCCAUCAAAAUCCUCAUUUUCAUCAGAUGAAUUCAGAUUCAUCUGUUUUCUAUCUGAAUUCACUUCAUUUAAGUUUGAAUUCUUGAGUCCAUCCAAACUCAAUGAAUUCCAGGUUGAAUUGGAUCCAUCAAAACUCAAAGAAUUCCAGGUUGAAUUGGAUCCAUCAAAACUCAAUAUUGGCUUGAUUUCAGCUUUCAUCUGCUCACCCU